UGAACGCUGGCGGCGUGCCUAAUACAUGCAAGUCGAGCGAACAGACGAGGAGCUUGCUCCUCUGACGUUAGCGGCGGACGGGUGAGUAACACGUGGAUAACCUACCUAUAAGACUGGGAUAACUUCGGGAAACCGGAGCUAAUACCGGAUAAUAUAUUGAACCGCAUGGUUCAAUAGUGAAAGACGGUUUUGCUGUCACUUAUAGAUGGAUCCGCGCCGCAUUAGCUAGUUGGUAAGGUAACGGCUUACCAAGGCAACGAUGCGUAGCCGACCUGAGAGGGGGAUCCGCCCCAACGGAACUGGGACCACGGCCAGACUCCUACGGGAGGCAGCAGUAGGGAAUCUUCCGCAAUGGGCGAAAGCCUGACGGAGCAACGCCGCGUGAGUGAUGAAGGUCUUCGGAUCGUAAAACUCUGUUAUUAGGGAAGAACAAAUGUGUAAGUAACUAUGCACGUCUUGACGGUACCUAAUCAGAAAGCCACGGCUAACUACGUG
rnacentral:rRNA from 1 species